AUGCCCCGAGCUUCCAACCCAAGCAAACCCCACGCCACCCCCACCACCCGACGGCUCGCGACGCGGAGCUUCGUCCCACUCCCAGCCGAGGCCCCCGCCGCCGUGCUCCCGCACCGGGCCCCGACCCUCCCCCACUGUCCCGCUCCAUUGCGACGGCGGCACCCGCCGCCGCCGCGUCCCAUGGCCACCCUCCUCUCCCACACCCUACCCACGCUGCUGCUGCUGCUGCUGCUGCUCGUCACGGACGUUCGGGCGUCUGGUGCCGGAGGCGGCGGCGAGCGGGGGGCCCUGCUCAAGUUCAAGGGGGCCGUGACCGCCGACCCGGGCGGGCUCCUCCGCGACUGGUCCCCGUCGUCGGCCGACCACUGCCUCUGGCCGGGCGUGUCCUGCGGCGCGUCCGGCGAGGUCGUGGCGCUCAACGUCUCCUCCUCCCCCGGCCGCCGCCUGGCGGGCGCGCUCUCCCCGUCCGUCGCGGCGCUGCGCGGCCUCCGCGUGCUCGCGCUCCCCUCCCACGCGCUCUCGGGCCCGCUCCCCUCCGCGAUCUGGUCGCUGCGCCGCCUCCUCGUGCUCGACCUCUCCGGCAACCGCCUCCAGGGCGAGAUCCCGCCGUCGCUCGCCUGCUCCGCGCUGCAGACGCUGGACCUCGCCUACAACCAGCUCAACGGCUCCGUGCCCGCCGCGCUCGGCUCGCUGUUGGUGCUCCGGCGCCUCUCGCUCGCCUCCAACCGCCUGGGCGGCGCCAUCCCCGACGAACUGGGCGGUGCCGGCUGCCGCAGCCUGCAGUUCCUCGAUCUCUCUGGGAACCUCCUCGUCGGCGGCAUCCCCCGGGGUUUGGGGAACUGCAGCAAGCUGGAGGCGCUCUUGCUCUCCUCCAACCUGCUGGAUGACGUCAUCCCGCCGGAGAUUGGACGCCUCAGCAGUUUGCGGGCUUUGGAUGUGUCGAGGAACAGUCUGAGCGGCCCUGUGCCAGCGGAGCUCGGUGGUUGUGUUGAACUUUCAGUGCUAGUCUUGUCCAAUCCUUAUGCGCUGGUUGGUGGUUUGAAUGCAUCGGAUGCAGUCAUGGCUACGGAUUUGACGAGUUGCCAUAGUUUUGCCCAGAACAAUUUUACUGGAACAGUGACAUCCUUGCCGAUUGCUGCCGAGAAGCUGGGAAUGCAGGGGUCCUAUGCUUUCCUUGCUGAUGGGAAUAAUCUUGUUGGUGAGUUGCAACCUGGCCUAUUCAAUAAGUGCAACAGUUCAAGGGGUUUCAUGGUGGACGUUAGCAACAACCUGAUAACAGGAGGUAUCCCUGUAGAGAUUGGAUCAUUGUGCAGUUCUCUUGUUGUUCUUGGUGUUGCUGGUAACCGCCUUUCUGGUUUGAUACCAACAAGUAUUGGACAGUUGAAUUAUCUUAUCAGCUUGGAUUUGAGUAGGAACCAGCUUGGUGGUGAAAUUCCGACUUCUGUCAAGAACUUACCACAUUUGGAGCUACUUUCUUUGGGUCAUAACCUUCUAAAUGGAACUAUUCCAAAUGAUUUUAAUCAGCUGCAGUCUCUGAAGGUUUUGGACCUGUCCUCAAACCGCCUCUCCGGAGAGAUCCCUCAUGCACUCGCAGACUUGACAAAUCUCACUGCCCUCCUCCUUGAUAAUAAUAAACUUACUGGGAAGAUACCGGCCGAAUUUGCCAAUGCGGCAUCUCUUACCACGUUUAACAUGUCAUUCAACAAUUUGUCUGGUCCAGUGCCAACAAAUAGCAGUGCAGUUGGAUGUGACAGCAUUAUUGGAAAUCCUUUGCUACAAUCUUGUCACACGUAUACCCUGGCUGUUCCCUCCGCUGGUCAGCAGGGUCGUGAUCUGAAUUCAUAUGACAACGACACAGCGCCUGUGGAUCCACAAAACCAAGGAGGAAGCAGUUCAUUCAAUGCGAUCGAAAUAGCUUCGAUAACAUCUGCAACAGCCAUUGUUUCAGUCCUUCUUGCUCUGAUUGUACUAUUUAUUUACACAAGAAAGUGCGCACCCUUUAUGUCAGCUCGAUCAUCUGGAAGAAGGGAAGUUAUAAUCUUCCAAGAAAUCGGAGUGCCGAUCACUUAUGAGACUGUUGUUCGAGCUACUGGAACUUUCAACGCAAGCAAUUGCAUUGGAAGUGGGGGUUUUGGAGCCACCUACAAAGCUGAAAUUUCACCUGGAGUCUUGGUAGCUAUAAAGAGGCUUUCUGUUGGGAGAUUCCAGGGAUUGGAACAGUUCCAUGCCGAGAUCAAAACUCUUGGGAGAUUAAGACAUCCUAAUCUUGUUACCUUGGUAGGCUACCAUCUUGGUGAAUCUGAAAUGUUUCUCAUAUAUAACUACUUGCCUGGAGGAAAUCUUGAGAGAUUCAUACAAGAGAGAUCAAAGAGACCAGUAGAGUGGAAGAGGCUGCACAAGAUUGCUCUGGACAUUGCAAAAGCACUCGCUUAUCUGCAUGACACUUGUGUUCCUAGGAUCCUUCAUCGUGACGUGAAACCAAACAAUAUUUUGUUGGACACUAACCAUAAUGCUUACCUCUCAGACUUUGGACUGGCAAGGCUCUUGGGAAAUUCGGAAACCCAUGCAACCACUGGCGUAGCUGGAACUUUUGGAUAUGUUGCUCCAGAAUAUGCUAUGACAUGCCGUGUUUCAGAUAAAGCCGAUGUUUAUAGCUAUGGUGUUGUACUGAUGGAGCUAAUAUCAGACAAGAAGGCCUUGGAUCCAUCAUUUUCUCCUUAUGGUAAUGGGUUUAACAUAGUUGCCUGGGCAUGCAUGCUGCUCCGUCAAGGCCGUGCUCGUGAUUUCUUCGUCGAUGGAUUGUGGGAUGUGGGCCCGCAUGAUGACUUGGUAGAGGUGUUGCAUUUAGCAGUGAUGUGCACCGUUGAAUCGCUCUCUAUACGACCAACUAUGAAGCUAGUUGUUCAACGACUAAAGCAACUCCAGCCUCCAAUACGUGAACACCGAUGA
rnacentral:rRNA from 1 species